AACGAACGCUGGCGGCAUGCCUAACACAUGCAAGUCGAACGAAGGCUUCGGCCUUAGUGGCGCACGGGUGCGUAACGCGUGGGAAUCUGCCCUUGGGUUCGGAAUAACAGUUAGAAAUGACUGCUAAUACCGAUGAUGUCGUAAGACCAAAGAUUUAUCGCACAAGGAUGAGCCCGCGUAGGAUUAGCUAGUUGGUGAGGUAAAGGCUCACCAAGGCGACGAUCCUUAGCUGGUCUGAGAGGAUGAUCAGCCACACUGGGACUGAGACACGGCCCAGACUCCUACGGGAGGCAGCAGUGGGGAAUAUUGGACAAUGGGCGAAAGCCUGAUCCAGCAAUGCCGCGUGAGUGAUGAAGGCCUUAGGGUUGUAAAGCUCUUUUACCCGGGAUGAUAAUGACAGUACCGGGAGAAUAAGCUCCGGCUAACUUCGUGCCAGCAGCCGCAGUAAUAC
rnacentral:rRNA from 1 species